GAUGAACGCUGGCGGCGUGCUUAACACAUGCAAGUCGAACGAUGAAGCCCAGCUUGCUGGGUGGAUUAGUGGCGAACGGGUGAGUAACACGUGAGUAACCUGCCCUUAACUCUGGGAUAAGCCGGGGAAACUGGGUCUAAUACCGGAUAGGAGCGCCUACCGCAUGGGGGGUGUUGGAAAGAUUUAUCGGUUUUGGAUGGACUCGCGGCCUAUCAGCUUGUUGGUGAGGUAAUGGCUCACCAAGGCGACGACGGGUAGCCGGCCGGAGAGGGUGACCGGCCACACUGGGACUGAGACACGGCCCAUACUCCUACGGGAGGCAGCAGUGGGGAAUAUUGCACAAUGGGCGGAAGCCUGAUGCAGCGACGCCGCGUGCGGGAUGACGGCCUUCGGGUUGUAAACCUCUUUCAGUAGGGAAGAAGCGAAAGUGACGGUACCUGCAGAAGAAGCCCCGGCUAACUACGUG
rnacentral:rRNA from 1 species